GACAGAGGAUGCAAACGUUGCUCGGAAUUACUGGGCGUAAAGCGCGUGUAGGCGGCUUGGUAAGUCGGACGUGAAAUCCCGGGGCUCAACCCCGGAAGGGCGCUCGAUACUGCCGAACUUGGGUCCUGAAGAGGAGAGCGGAAUUCCCGGUGUAGAGGUGAAAUUCGUAGAUAUCGGGAGGAACACCAGUGGCGAAGGCGGCUCUCUGGGCAGGUACCGACGCUGAGACGCGAAAGCGUGGGAAGCAAACAGG
rnacentral:rRNA from 1 species